GAACAUUGAGGAUAGAACAGGCAGCUAUCGCACCCUUGUGGUCUGAAAGAGAUGUGGAAAGGUCACUCCACCAAUGUUC
rnacentral:ncRNA from 12 species